CCCCUAGUAACUGCGAGUGAAGCGGGAAAAGCUCAAAUUUAAAAUCUGGCAGUUUUACUGUCCGAGUUGUAAUCUAGAGAAGUGCUAUCCGCGCUGGACCGUGUACAAGUCUCCUGGAAUGGAGCGUCAUAGAGGGUGAGAAUCCCGUCUUUGACACGGACUGCCAGGGCUUUGUGAUGCGCUCUCAAAGAGUCGAGUUGUUUGGGAAUGCAGCUCAAAAUGGGUGGUAAAUUCCAUCUAAAGCUAAAUAUUGGCGAGAGACCGAUAGCGAACAAGUACCGUGAGGGAAAGAUGAAAAGAACUUUGGAAAGAGAGUUAAACAGUACGUGAAAUUGCUGAAAGGGAAACGCUUGAAGUCAGUCGCGUUGUCCAGGGAUCAACCUUGCUUUUGCUUGGUGCACUUUCUGGUUGACGGGUCAGCAUCAAUUUUGACUAUUGGAAAAAGAUCAGGGGAAUGUGGCAUCUUUGGAUGUGUUAUAGCCCUUGGUUGCAUACAAUGGUUGGGAUUGAGGAACUCAGCACGCCGCAAGGCCGGGUUUUUAACCACGUACGUGCUUAGGAUGCUGGCAUAAUGGCUUUAAUCGACCCGUCUUGAAACACGGACCAAGGAGUCUAACAUGCCUGCGAGUGUUUGGGUGGAAAACCCGAGCGCGUAAUGAAAGUGAAAGUUGAGAUCCCUGUCGUGGGGAGCAUCGACGCCCGGACCAGACCUUUUGUGACGGUUCCGCGGUAGAGCAUGUAUGUUGGGACCCGAAAGAUGGUGAACUAUGCCUGAAUAGGGUGAAGCCAGAGGAAACUCUGGUGGAGGCUCGUAGCGAUUCUGACGUGCA
rnacentral:rRNA from 1 species